CAGCCGCACGGUAAUACGGAGGGAGCUAGCGUUGUUCGGAAUUACUGGGCGUAAAGCGCACGUAGGCGGCUUUGUAAGUUAGAGGUGAAAGCCUGGAGCUCAACUCCAGAAUUGCCUUUAAGACUGCAUCGCUUGAAUCCAGGAGAGGUGAGUGGAAUUCCGAGUGUAGAGGUGAAAUUCGUAGAUAUUCGGAAGAACACCAGUGGCGAAGGCGGCUCACUGGACUGGUAUUGACGCUGAGGUGCGAAAGCGUGGGGAGCAAACAGGAUUAGAUACCCCCGUAGUCCAUGUCUCUUAUACA
rnacentral:rRNA from 1 species